UUUGUCCUGGAGUGUUCGUUAAAGGUUAUUUAAUUCAACCUACAGUUUGCAUCCGGUAGUUCGGAGUUUUUCUGCGGAUGACAUGCCGCUUCAGAGCGGACGUCAGAAACAGGAAACAGAACAUCCACCUAUUCAUUGUGAGGGUGUGAAUUGGUUAGCCUAACGGCAUUCCGGGUAGUAU
rnacentral:other from 1 species